CAGUUAAGCCCUGUUAUUACGGACACAGUACUAAAAGGCACAUUUAAUGUCACUUUGGCUAAUCCAUUACUGAAUCGAACUAAUAUACCUACUCAGAAGGAAGUUGCUCCUCCAAAUGAAUUUUCUCUGGCUGUUUGACGUGAACAUUUUACAAGGAAAUCCAAGAAUUUACAUUGAAGAAAGAAAGCACCACAAUCUCUUUAAUUUUAUCUUGCUUUCCAGAACAAGACAGGCGUUGUGUUUAGUAUAAAGCAGUAAACAGGGACUCAGAUAAAUUAAGGAGAAGAGUGAAGACCUGCAUUAUGCUGGCCUUAGGAAAAACAGAACUACCUAAUAACCAAU